CUCUGCCUCAGAGGUCUUCUCAAGCCACUACUGUUCCCAAGGAUGCCUAAUUGCAAUGCCAGCUUCUGAGGUGAACAUGGACCCACUGUCACCGGGCAAGGUCUAGGAUGAACAUGGAUACCCACCAUUAUCGGGGAGAUUCCAGAGUGGACAUGGACCCACCAUCAUCAGGCAGCUUCCUGGAGUAUUCCGAAGCUGGUGGGUGUCAUCUGGCGGAUGUGACUGGGUACCAGUGCCAGAGCAUGUGCCCACUGAGCAGUCUUCUUCACUUUCCUCGAUCCUCAUGAAACAUUCUGGGAUCUUUACCGCAAAGGACUCCAGAGGCUACAUCAUUGUCUUGGAACUGGUCAGUGGCUGGAGCUCUCUCCAGGACAAGUGCUUGGAGGAAGAACCUGGACAAGCUUUCCUCCCCAUACUGUUGACUGGAUCUUAUAUCUACCGUUAGCCACCAUCAUCGCCACUGCGUGCCUCUUAGGAGCAUUUCCAGGAGGUGAUGCCAGCUGGGGAAAGAGCCUCUGUCCCACAGGACAGCUUCAGGUGGUGGUUCCAGCUCCAGGGUUGCUGCGGUCAACACUGGGUACUUGAGGAGAGGUU
rnacentral:lncRNA from 1 species